GUACGGGAGCACAAAGGGAUGGAGAGAUUGUUCUCUGCCAGUGAGGGUGAAGGGGUUGGAGGAGGAUGUGGCGUGCUCUCCGGAUCAUGGCGAGAAAGAACAGAUUGUGAAGACAGAAUAAGUCAACCUGAAAGCAAACCACAGUUUGGAACCAAGCCAAGCUUAGCAUCAGUUGACCCACAGAUCCAAUUUUUUCAUAAUCAAGAAAUAAAUGUGUGUGUGUACAUGCUAUUGAGUUUUGAAAUUACUUUUUGACCAACAUCAUUGCAGUAAAAGCUUAGUGAUAUAAAUAUUAAUAUUGAUCAAUGGAGUGGGGUGUUAUCAGAUUGCUCUGCCC
rnacentral:lncRNA from 10 species